rnacentral:rRNA from 1 species
UACGUAGGGGGCAAGCGUUGUCCGGAAUCAUUGGGCGUAAAGAGCGUGUAGGCGGCCAUACAGGUCCGUUGUGAAAACUGGAGGCUUAACCUCCAGACGUCGAUGGAAACCGUAUGGCUAGAGUCCGGAAGAGGAGAGUGGAAUUCCUGGUGUAGCGGUGAAAUGCGCAGAUAUCAGGAGGAACACCGGUGGCGAAGGCGGGUCUCUGGGCCGAUACUGACGCUGAGGAGCGAAAGCGUGGGGAGCGAACAGG